rnacentral:rRNA from 1 species
AUUGAACGCUGGCGGCAUGCCUUACACAUGCAAGUCGAACGGCAGCACAGGAGAGCUUGCUCUCUGGGUGGCGAGUGGCGGACGGGUGAGGAAUACAUCGGAAUCUACUUUUUCGUGGGGGAUAACGUAGGGAAACUUACGCUAAUACCGCAUACGACCUACGGGUGAAAGCAGGGGAUCUUCGGACCUUGCGCGAUUGAAUGAGCCGAUGUCGGAUUAGCUAGUUGGCGGGGUAAAGGCCCACCAAGGCGACGAUCCGUAGCUGGUCUGAGAGGAUGAUCAGCCACACUGGAACUGAGACACGGUCCAGACUCCUACGGGAGGCAGCAGUGGGGAAUAUUGGACAAUGGGCGCAAGCCUGAUCCAGCCAUACCGCGUGGGUGAAGAAGGCCUUCGGGUUGUAAAGCCCUUUUGUUGGGAAAGAAAUCCAGCUGGUUAAUACCCGGUUGGGAUGACGGUACCCAAAGAAUAAGCACCGGCUAACUUCGUGCCAGCCGCCGCCGUAA